AUUGAACGCUGGCGGCAUGCCUUACACAUGCAAGUCGAACGGUAGAGGGGGCAACCCCUUGAGAGUGGCGAACGGGUGAGUAAUAUAUCGGAACGUGCCCAGUCGUGGGGAUAACGUAGCGAAAGUUACGCUAAUACCGCAUACGAUCUAAGGAUGAAAGCGGGGGAUCGCAAGACCUCGCGCGAUUGGAGCGGCCGAUAUCAGAUUAGGUAGUUGGUGAGGUAAAGGCUCACCAAGCCAACGAUCUGUAGCUGGUCUGAGAGGACGACCAGCCACACUGGAACUGAGACACGGUCCAGACUCCUACGGGAGGCAGCAGUGGGGAAUUUUGGACAAUGGACGCAAGUCUGAUCCAGCCAUUCCGCGUGCAGGAUGAAGGCCCUCGGGUUGUAAACUGCUUUUGUACGGAACGAAAAGGUUUCUAUUAAUACUAGGAGCUCAUGACGGUACCGUAAGAAUAAGCACCGGCUAACUAACGUGCCAGCAGCCGCGGUAAAGUG
rnacentral:rRNA from 1 species